rnacentral:lncRNA from 1 species
GAAAAUGGCGGAUGAGGCCGGGCGCGGUGGCUCACGCCUGUGGUCCCAGCACUUUGGGAGGCCGAGGCGGGCGGAUCACAAGGUCAGGAGAUCCAGACCAUCCUGGUUAACACUGUGAAACCCCGUCUCUUCUAAAAAUACAAAAAAAAAUUAGCCAGGCGUGGUGGCGGGCGCUUGUAGUCCCAGCUACUCAGAAGGCUGAGGCAGGAGAAUGGCGUGAACCCGGGAGGCACAGCUUGCAGCGAGCCAAGAUGGCGCCGCUGCACUCCAGCCUGGGCGACAGAGCGAGACUCCAUCUCAAAAAAGAAAAGAAAAGAAAAGAAACCGGCGGACGAAGGAAGAGAUCCUCCUUCAGGCAGGGUAGGGAAGAACGGCACUCGGUGACCAGAGACCUUUUCCAGGACCAUGUCUUUGAAGCAUAUCUCAGCUCUUGUCUUCCGGAAGCGAUGGAGACAGAAUCCAGAAGCCUGAGACUCUCUCCUUUCCUGGCUUUGAUGAAGCAAGCUGCCACACUGGAGAGGCCUACAUGAUAAGGACCUGAAGGUGGCCUCCAGCUAGCUCCAGCCAACAGUUGGCAAGGAAUUGAGGACCUGAGUCCAAUAGACCUUGAGGAACUGAAUCCUGCCAACAGCUACACAAGUGAGCAUGGCAGUGUAUCCUUCCCCAGUAAAGUCUUCAGAUGAGACCCCAGCCCCAGCUGACACCUUGAUUGCAGCCUUGUGAGAGACUCUGAAGCAGAGAAACCAGCUAGGCCUUGCCUGGAUUCCUGAUCCACAAACUGCUUUUGUGAUGCCCUAUAAUUACAUGAACUCUACUAAAAAGAGGGAUACUGAAAAGAAGAAUAAUGUUGAGUCACCUUUGCAGAAGAAAAAACAACUUCCUCUCUUCCUCUACUUCACUCUGGCAAGUUCUCCAACCUGACAAGCCAGUAGGGAGUGCCAGAAUGUCAUGGCUGAGAAAAGAGAUGUUAACAGGCUGUAUGAUGUUGGCCACAGAGUGCCCCCCUAAAGAGGCCUCAGAAGAAUGAAGG